rnacentral:rRNA from 1 species
GAUGAACGCUAGCGGCAGGCCUAACACAUGCAAGUCGAGGGAGAAGCCCUUUCGGGGGCAGAAACCGGCGCACGGGUGCGUAACGCGUAUGCAACCUACCUUUCACAGGGGGAUAGCCCGAAGAAAUUUGGAUUAAUACCCCAUAAUAUUAUUGGAUGGCAUCAUUUGAUAAUUAAAACUGCGGUGGUGAAAGAUGGGCAUGCGCCCUAUUAGCUAGUUGGAGUGGUAACGGCACCCCAAGGCUACGAUAGGUAGGGGUCCUGAGAGGGAGAUCCCCCACACUGGUACUGAGACAGGGACCAGACUCCUACGGGAGGCAGCAGUGAGGAAUAUUGGGCAAUGGUCGGAAGACUGAACCAGCCAUGCCGCGUGCAGGAAGAAUGCCUUAUGGGUUGUAAACUGCUUUUAUAUGGGAAGAAUAAGGCGUACGUGUACGUUGAUGACGGUACCAUAUGAAUAAGCAUCGGCUAACUCCGUG